rnacentral:misc_RNA from 1 species
GAAGCUUAUGUGGACGGGAAGGGCAGGCCAUUUAAAAAUAUCCGAAUCAAACACACUUACAUAUUGGACGACCCUUUUGAUGAUCCUCCCCAACUAAGCGAAUUGGUUCCAGAUGCUUCACCUGAAGGAAAGCCAAAAGAUGAGGUUGAAGAUGAUGUACGACUAGAAGAUGAUUGGGUGCCUAUGGAUGAGCAACUAGGCAUGCAAGAACUUGAGGAGGUUCUGCGUGCAAAAGAAGCACAUUCGCGAGCAGUAGUACUUGAAAGUGUAGGGGAUAUUCCUGAUGCUGAGAUAAAGCCGCCUGACAAUGUGCUUUUUGUAUGUAAAUUGAAUCCAGUUACUGAAGAUGAAGAUCUGUAUACAAUCUUUUCACGCUUUGGUACCGUGACAUCUGCUGAAAUAAUUAGGGACUUCAAGACUGGGGAUAGCCUCUGCUAUGCUUUCAUUGAGU